UACGUAGGUGGCAAGCGUUGCCCGGAUUUACUGGGCGUAAAGAGCGCGCAGGCGGUCGUUCAAGUCGCGUGUGAAAGCCCCCGGCUCAACUGGGGAGGGUCACGCGAUACUGAUCGACUGGAAGGCAGGAGGGGGUAGUGGAAUUCCCGGUGUAGAGGUGAAAUUCGUAGAUAUCGGGAGGAACACCGGUGGCGAAGGCGGCGACCUGGGUAGAUACUGACGCUGAGGUGCGAAAGCGUGGGGAGCAAACAGG
rnacentral:rRNA from 1 species